CGCUACGGUUCCGGGUUCAGGCCCAUCCUGCCAGAUUCCAAGAUGUUGCCCAGCCAAUCACCCCCUCCCGCGGGAGGACCAAAUUCCAAGCACUCAGCGCGGGCCAGUGCUGCUCUCCAAGCCGGCUCUGUUCUCCGUUGGACACGUCCUCCUGCCCAGGUCCUCGGGCUCGCCAACCCCUGGCUGUGAGUUGGACGGGCUCCAGCCUUCCGUCCACGUUUCCCUUUCUUUCUUUCUUUCUUUCUUUUUCUUUUUCCUCAGUUUCUUCCUGGGUCAUGAGAGUCCUCUCCUUUCGUCCGGUCUUCUCCAUGGUGGUAAAUGCUAGCGUCUGAGCUGUUCCUCUCAGAGAGGUUUCUUACCUUGAAACAUAGCUCUCCGCCAUCUUGAUGCCGCCUCCUAUUCGUUACCACUUAAUAAUGAUUUCUGCUGGCCACAGACGGUGCCAGGCACUGUGGGGAAACAAGGACAAAUCCUAGAGCUAGCGGAAGGUCCGUCCCAGGGACCUGCUGCCGCCUCUGAGGCCACAGGGCUGUUGCAUGUGCUACACUGCUCAGCAGGCCACAGAGAUGCUGGGGCUGGCUUGGGACAGUGCUCUCUGGUGGCCGUGCUGAUCUUCACCACUGGCUCACAAGUGUCCGGGACUCUGUCACAGAGUGGUGGACCGACCACCCCCGCCCCGUCCCAGCCCUCCCUUUCUUCAUCUGGACAAUGGGACUCCCAGAAAUGAUGGGGAACCCUGUGGUGAUAUUUGCUUUUUAAAAAUUUUUUGACUUUUUGAGACGGGGUCUCACCAUGCAGUUUAGGCUGGACUUGAGCUCACUUUGUAGCCCAGGCUGAUCUUGGACUUGCCAGGAUCCUCCUGCCUCAGCCUCCCGAGUGUGCCACCAUGCCCAGGUGACAUUUGCAAUCCAGAGGGAACGUGCAUGCUGAGGAUGAAUGAGGCAGAACUGCCACACCAGGGGCUGGGCAGUGGGACGUGGGUGCUGCCGUCUCAGCGGGAGUCUGCUCCUCCUGGGCACCUGCAGAGCCCUGCUCAGGUGGGGGAGCCAGACCCAGGCCCACACGGCCCUGAGGGUCUAGAGGGCAAGGGGAGCUGGCCCUGGCCGGUGGAAAUUUCCUAGAGCGGUUUACUUGGAAGCAAAGGGCUUGGCAGAGCCUCCCAGGCUUCCCCGCCAGACAAGGCCUCUUUGAAGAGAGUCAAAAACAGCAGGAAAAUGGGGGACAUGGGGGGGGGCUGAGCGGGGUCCACUGUUUC
rnacentral:lncRNA from 1 species